UACGUAGGGGCCCAGCGUUGUCCGGAUUCAUUGGGCGUAAAGCGCGCGCAGGCGGCCCGGUGUGCCGCCCGUGAAAUCCCCCGGCUCAACCGGGGGGGGUCGGGCGAGACUGUCGGGCUGGAGGCGGGUAGGGGGCAGCGGAAUUCCCGGUGUAGUGGUGGAAUGCGUAGAUAUCGGGAGGAACACCAGUGGCGAAGGCGGCUGCCUGGACCCGGCCUGACGCUGAGGCGCGAAAGCGUGGGGAGCGAGCCGG
rnacentral:rRNA from 1 species